GGAGGCCUUGAAAGGAGCCCACAAGGAGGAGAUGGAGAGAGCGGGAAAGGCCAGGCAACCAGCCACAACAGGAGGUGCAUUAGUCAUCAGAGGACAGGUGUAAGUCUACCAUACAAACAACCCCAACCAUAACCCUGUAUUCUGUCAUCAAGGCCUCUGAUGUGUCCCACAAGGCUGAUUACUGUAUAUGUAUCUGUUUGUAAGCAUACUUGUGUGUCGGUGUUUGUGUGCAUGUGUGUGCCUGCGUGUAUGUGUGAAUGCGUGCACGCUUGUGUACGUGCAUGUAUGCGUGGGUGCAUUGGUGUUUGCAGGCCUGAGACGUUACGAUCAGAGAUGGACGUGCUGUCUGCGUGUUACUCUGAAAGGUGCUCUGAGCUGAGCCGCACGGAGUACCACACCAAGGACCGAACGACAGAGCUCUGCUGCAGAGAGAGAGAGACAGAGAACCUCCGCAGGGAGAACCAGGAACUUAAGACCAAGCUUGCCGAGGAGAUCAGUCGCAUGCGUUGUUUCAUCACAGGUCAAAGUUCAGGGGUCAUAUCCCCUGGUCACACAGAUCAGGGGUCAUCCAAUGUAGAGAUUAUGUUAAGAAAGAAGACAAGUGAGGUGGAAUAUCUCCAGAAGCAAGUGAGAUGUCUACAGAAUGAAGUGCAGGCCCUUACCAAGGAGAAUGAGGGAGCCUAAUGGACCGCGACAUGGAGGGCUACGUUGAACUGAGUAAGAUGAAGAGCCACAGCCAAUAAAAGAUGUGCUCCAUCAAAGAACACCCGAGACUGGCCAAUACUACGCUUCAGGAGGGGGACAAGAGGCCGCUGAUUGGUGGGAACAACUAGUCCCUGGCCCUUUAAGAGUGACAUCAAUACUAUGCAGAGAAGGGAAGGAAGUGUGAUGCAGUGUUACCGUUACUAUUGGCCGACAUGGACUCAGAAUCAUGUGUACCAUUGCAUUUGGAAAAUCAGUUUUGUUACGAGUGUUACUGUAAAGAUGUAAAAAACAAACAGUUAUACCAAAAGAUGAGUUACUUUUUACUCUGUUUAUUGAGUUGCAAGACACACCGACAUGCAGACAGGAGUGAGGACUAAUAGACAGAUCGCCUUUGUAGUCUCACAUGAUUAU